GAUGAACGCUAGCGGCAGGCUUAAUACAUGCAAGUCGUGGGGCAGCAUGGGGUAGCAAUACCCUGAUGGCGACCGGCAAACGGGUGCGGAACACGUACGCAACCUUCCUUUAACUGGAGAAUAGCCCCUCGAAACGAGGGAGUUAAUACUCCGUAAUAUCCCGAUAUGGCAUCAUGACGGGAUUAUAGCUCCGGCGGUUAGAGAUGGGCGUGCGCCUGAUUAGGUAGUUGGCGGGGAAGUGGCCCACCAAGCCUUCGAUCAGUAACUGGUGUGAGAGCACGACCAGU
rnacentral:rRNA from 1 species